rnacentral:rRNA from 1 species
UACAGAGGGUGCGAGCGUUAAUCGGAAUUACUGGGCGUAAAGCGUGCGUAGGCGGUCAUGUAAGUCGGAUGUGAAAGCCCCGGGCUCAACCUGGGAAUUGCAUUCGAGACUGCAUGGCUUGGGUGCGGAAGAGGGAAGCGGAAUUUCCGGUGUAGCGGUGAAAUGCGUAGAUAUCGGAAGGAACACCAGUGGCGAAAGCGGCUUCCUGGUCCGACACCGACGUUCAGGCACGAAAGCGUGGGGAGCAAACAGG